ensembl:lncRNA
AUAUAUUGAGUUGGACAAUAAAAACAAAUUACCCCCCCCCCCCCCCAACGGCAGCCUUUUGUAAAAAAAAGAAAGAAAGAAAAAGGUAAAAGCUCUUUUAAAGCAAGUUUGGGUAGAAUGAGAGCCAAGCCAAGAUUUUAUAUAGUGACGAGCUAGAUUUAUCCAGCUUGCCAUCUGUCAAAAUUAUAUUACAAAAGGCACAUAUGCAGAGAUACAAGACUACUGAUUUUCAUAUAUAUUAAAAUCGGCAACUACUGCAGGAUAUGAAAGCUGGCAAACUGUUAAGCCAAAAGGCUUACAUUUCAAACUUUUGGGAGUAUUGCUCUAAUUCAGCUCUGUCUCUGACACAGAAGCACCCACACAAAAUUGCAGGUAUUUUGUGAGCACAUAUACAUGCUCAUAUGUAAACACCUCAUUUUAGAAUGCUGCCAAAAUAACAUAUUAAUGCCAGGGAAAACAUGAAGCAAGAAAGAAACCCCACAUGUUUUGCAUUGGAAAUAAGGCUGGCUACAUUAAAUGCAUUAAUAUUCAAUGCACACAAAGGGCUUUGCCUGCUUCCGUACAGAGUGAUGUGCAUCAGUGAAGUGGUAACAUUGCAACGCACUAAUGGGUGUGUUGAACGUACGGCAGAGGUGGGUCAACAAGGAAGUUGGAAAGACAGAAUACAUGGCUAGGACAUCAUUGACAGCAACAUCUAGCAAUGUCCCUGAGAAUUACCCAGUCAAUUCAUGGGCAGAAAUACUCAGUACGAUUAUUAUUAUUAUUAUUAUUAUUAUUAUUAUUAAUAAUAAUAAUAAUAUUUUAUUAUGACACAGCAAACGAGAUAGAUAUGCUGGAUUUCGUUUCACAAAAUCACAAGUCGAACAUUUCCCAAGUGUCUAGGACUGUGUGAUGUAUUUUCGGAUGAUGUGCGCAGAUCCCAGUAGGGUGGCCUUUUGCAGUUGGCAGAUCGUGAUUUUGUCAAUGUCUAUUGUUUCCAAAUGCCAGCUGAGAUCUUUUGGCACGGCACCCACUGGGACCACCUGCACUGGUUUCUGCCAGAGUCUUUGAAGUUCAAUUUUGAGGUCCUGAUAGCGGCUGAGUUUUUCCUGUUCGUCAAUGUGACUGUCACCUGGGAUGGCAACAUCAAUGAUCCAAACCUUUUUCUUUUCUACAACUGUGAUGUCUGGUGUGUUGUGUUCCAGAACUUUGUCAGUCUGGAUUCGGAAGUUCCACAGUAUCUUUGCGUGUUCAUUUUCCAAUACUUUUGCAGGUCUGUGAUCCCACCAGUUUUUUACUGCUGGGAGGUGGUACUUGAGGCAUAAGUUCCAAUGAAUCAUUUGGGCCACAUAGUUGUGCCUCUGUUUGUAGUCUGUCUGUGCGAUUUUCUUACAGCAGCUGAGGAUAUGAUCAAUGGUUUCGUCGGUUUCCUUGCAGAGUCUGCAUUUUGGGUCAUCAGCUGAUUUUUCGAUCUUGGCCUUAAUUGCAUUUGUUCUGAUGGCUUGCUCCUGGGCUGCAAGGAUCAGGCCUUCUGUCUCCUUCUUCAGUGUCCCAUUCGUGAGCCAUAGCCAGGUCUUCUCCUUAUCAGCUUUUCCUUCAAUUUUGUCAAGGAACUUUCCAUGCAGUGUUUUCUUGUGCCAGCUGUCAGCUCUAGUUUGUAGUGCAGUUUUCUUGUACUGAUUCUUUGUCUGCUGUGUUUUGAGGAGUUUCUGAUUUUUGACUUCAAUCAAAGCAUUAUUAUUAUUAUUAUUAUUAUUAUUAUUAUUAUUAUUAUUAUUAUUAUUAUUAUUAUUAUUAUUAUUAUGCAACAUAACCGGGGUAUCAUUUCCCAAGUUUCAGAAAGAUUUGCACAUCUACUGAUUUUUAGGAAAUUUUAA